AUGAACGCUGGCGGCGUGCCUAAUACAUGCAAGUCGAACGCUGGAGAUCUAGCUUGCUAGAUCGAAGGAGUGGCGAACGGGUGAGUAAUACAUAAGUAACCUACCCACGAAGACUGGGAUAAUCUCUGGAAACGGGGACUAAUACCGGAUAGGUAAUCGGAAGGCAUCUUCUGGUUAUUAAAGGUUAAAAACACUGGUGGAUGGGCUUAUGGCGCAUUAGUUAGUUGGUGAGGUAACGGCCCACCAAGACGAUGAUGCGUAGCCGGCCUGAGAGGGUGAACGGCCACAUUGGGACUGAGACACGGCCCAGACUCCUACGGGAGGCAGCAGUAGGGAAUUUUCGGCAAUGGGGGCAACCCUGACCGAGCAACGCCGCGUGAGUGAAGACGGCCUUCGGGUUGUAAAGCUCUGUUGUAAGGGAAGAACGGUAGAUAGAGAAUAUCUAAGUGACGGUACCUUACCAGAAAGCCACGGCUAACUACGUG
rnacentral:rRNA from 1 species